AGCGAACGCUGGCGGCAGGCUUAACACAUGCCAGUCGAGCGCCCCGCAAGGGGAGCGGCAGACGGGAGAGUAACACGUGGGAACAUACCUUUUGGUUCGGAACAACUGAGGGAAACUUCAGCUAAUACCGGAUAAGCCCUUACGGGGAAAGAUUUAUCGCCGAAAGAUUGGCCCGCGUCUGAUUAGCUAGUUGGUGAGGUAACGGCUCACCAAGGCGACGAUCAGUAGCUGGUCUGAGAGGAUGAUCAGCCUCACUGGGACUGAGACACGGCCCAGACUCCUACGGGAGGCAGCAGUGGGGAAUAUUGGACAAUGGGGGCAACCCUGAUCCAGCCAUGCCGCGUGAGUGAUGAAGGCCUUAGGGUUGUAAAGCCCUUUUGCCCGGGAAGAUAAUGACGGUACCGGGAGAAUAAGCCCCGGCUAACUUCGUG
rnacentral:rRNA from 1 species